rnacentral:rRNA from 1 species
UACGUAGGUGGCAAGCGUUGUUCGGAAUUACUGGGCGUAAAGCGCGCGUAGGCGGCUCUUCAAGUCAGGCGUGAAAGCCCCGAGCUUAACUCGGGAACUGCGCUUGAUACUGUCGAGCUAGAGUGUGGAAGGGGCGAUUGGAAUUCCGUGUGUAGCGGUGAAAUGCGUAGAUAUACGGAGGAACACCAAUUGCGAAGGCAGCUCGCUGGGACGUUACUGACGCUGAGACGCGAAAGCGUGGGGAGCAAACAGG